rnacentral:rRNA from 1 species
UGGGGAAUAUUGCGCAAUGGCCGAAAGGCUGACGCAGCGACGCCGCGUGUGGGAGGAAGCCCUUCGGGGUGUAAACCACUGUCAGGGGGGAAGAACCUCGUCUGCGGGAAUACUGCAGGCGACUGACGGUACCCCCAGAGGAAGCACCGGCUAACUCCGUGCCAGCAGCCGCGGUAAUACGGAGGGUGCAAGCGUUGUUCGGAAUUACUGGGCGUAAAGCGCGGGCAGGCGGUCUUUUAAGUCUUCUGUGAAACUCCGGGGCUCAACUCCGGACAUGCAGGAGAUACUGGAAGACUGGAGAUCGGUAGAGGCAGGCGGAAUUCCUGGUGUAGCGGUGGAAUGCGUAGAUAUCAGGAAGAACACCUGUGGCGAAGGCGGCCUGCUGGGCCGAUUCUGACGCUGAUCCGCGAAAGCGUGGGGAGCAAACAGGAUUAGAUACCCCCGUAGUCC